rnacentral:rRNA from 1 species
AGCGAACGCUGGCUGCAGCCUUAACACAUGCAAGCCGAGCGGGCACUUCGUUGUCAGCGGCAGACGGGUGAGUAACGCGUGGGAACGUGCCCUUCGGUUCGGAAUAACUCAGGGAAACUUGAGCUAUUACCGGAUACGCCCUUUUGGGGAUAGGUUUAUCUGCCGAAGGAUCGGCCCGCGUCUGAUUAACUAGUUGGUGAGGUUAUGGCUAACCAAGGCGACGAUCAGUAGCUGGUCUGAGAGGAUGAUAAGCCACACUGGGACUGAGACACGGCCCAGACUCCUACGGGAGGCAGCAGUGGGGAAUAUUGGACAAUGUGGGCAACCCUGAUCCAGCCAUGCCGCGUGAGUGAUGUCGGCCUUAGGGUUGUAAAGCUCUUUCUCCGGGACGAUAAUGACGGUACCGGAGGGAUAAGCCCCGGCUAACUUCGUGCCAGCCGCCGCGGUAA